rnacentral:rRNA from 1 species
ACAAUGGGCGCAAGCCUGAUGCAGCCAUGCCGCGUGUAUGAAGAAGGCCUUCGGGUUGUAAAGUACUUUCAGCAGUGAGGAAGGUGGGUAUGUUAAUAGCAUAUUCAUUUGACGUUUAGCUGCAGAAGAAGCACCGGCUAACUCCGUGCCAGCAGCCGCGGUAAUACGGAGGGUGCGAGCGUUAAUCGGAAUUACUGGGCGUAAAGCGCAUGCAGGUGGUUUGUUAAGUCAGAUGUGAAAGCCCGGGGCUCAAACCUCGGAAUUGCAUUUUGAAACUGGCAAACUAGAGUACUGUAGAGGGGGUAGAAUUUCAGGUGUAGCGGUGAAAUGCGUAGAGAUCUGAAGGAAUACCGGUGGCGAAGGCGGCCCCCUGGACAGAUACUGACACUCAGAUGCGAAAGCGUGGGGAGCAAACAGGAUUAGAUACCCUGGUAG